GCUUCAUCAACUUCAUUCCUGAGUCAUACUUACUUAAUAAACAAGACAAGAUCAACAACAAGAAAGGUGGAAGAACACAGCUGGUUUACCUGCACAGGAGCUAAAUACUUUGCAAUUCCAUUGGCUGAGCGCAACACCAAGAGGCUGACUAAGAGGAGCACACAUGCACAACUGCUGCGUGGGAAACAGGAUGGCAGCGA
rnacentral:lncRNA from 10 species